rnacentral:rRNA from 1 species
AUUUUGGACAAUGGGGGAAACCCUGAUCCAGCCAUCCCGCGUGUAUGAAGAAGGCCGUCGGGUCGUACAGCUCUGUCCUAAGGGAAGAAACGGACGGUACCUUUGGAGGAAGCUCCGGCUAACUACGUGCCAGCAGCCGCGGUAAUACGUAGGGGGCGAGCGUUCUCCGGAAUUACUGGGCGUAAAGGGUGCGUAGGCGGACUUUGAAGGCUGGUGUGAAAGGCUACGGCUUAACCGUAGUUAGCAUUUGAAACUAAAAGGCUUGAGUGCAGGAGAGGAGAGUGGAAUUCCUAGUGUAGCGGUGAAAUGCGUAGAUAUUAGGAGGAACACCAGUGGCGAAGGCGGCUCUCUGGACUGCAACUGACGCUGAGGCACGAAAGCGUGGGUAGCGAACAGG